rnacentral:misc_RNA from 1 species
ACAAACUUGGUCAUUUAGAGGAAGUAAAAGUCGUAACAAGGUUUCCGUAGGUGAACCUGCGGAAGGAUCAUUAACGAGUCCUCGCGGGGGGGAAGUUUCGGGGCGGUGCUGGCGAACCUCGCAUCGUGCACGCCUCGUCUCCUCCCGCGUUCUCCUCUCCAUGCACCCUUGUGAACCUCCAUGAGAUCGCGAAAGGGGCCUUUUCCCGCUCCCCUUGCGGUCUGAUUCGAAACCUUCUUUCGAUCGAGCAUGUGUCCAUCGAAAACGUCUAUCACAACUUUCAACGACGGAUCUCUUGGUUCUCGCAUCGAUGAAGAACGCAGC